GGUCGGGCUCUGGGUCAACAGUGUCAGUGAUGCAGAUCAGGUUGGGGUGGGGGACCAGGAGGAGGGGGCUCCACUGUAGUUACUGCUGCUGUGUGAGGAGCCGCUCCUGACUUCCCAGCAUUAAACAGUCCCAUUUCCUCUGUGCUCAACCCUGAGGGACAGUACUUCAGACAGAGCCCAGCAGGGUAGCUCACCUCCACCACUGCAGCCCUGGUUGGGAAAGCUGAAGCCUGGUGGUGACUACAGCCACGGAGGGUUAGAGUCACUGGGGGCUUCUUCAUCACACAUCCCUCAGGGGGCUGGACUGGGAUGCAGGCUGGUGGCGGGCGACAUGUGACCUUCCUGCUUGGCAGGGGCUUAGAGCCUGCUACAGAGAAGGCAGAACCUGACCCUUGCCUCUGACCAGCAUUCUGUCCAAGGAAGGCUGGCCCAGAUCCAAAUCCGAGGCCAGCCCUUGACAGCGAGAGGGAGGAGAGAGGACACCUUUGCGAUGGAUCCUGUGGGCUGGGCCAUGUCCUGACCCACUUUAGGAAACGCCUCUUCAUUCAGGGUCCUGUGUCUGUCCCCAGGUUCACACAGUGACCUUCCUUCUGGCCUUCAUCUCCCCUGUAGCCGCCACCACUGCAUUGUUGAUGCAGCCCAUGGCUUGGUCUGCUGGCCUCAGUCUCCCUACCUGACACUUCACUUGACACAGUAACCCGAAGAAGAGACCCGGCUCCUGGCCUGCCACAUCCCCCAGAACAAGCCAUCUUGUGUGACACUCUGACCUCAGAAACUACUUAUGUCAUCUAUCAGGGAUGUGACUUCUCCCUCUGCCCCAGCCCUGCACCCCACCCCUCUAUUCAACCCCAGCCUUCACCAACUUGGCCAGUAGCCAAUCUAACGUUCUCGGGACCCCUCUAUUUCCCUGAGCCCAGACCUGGGGACUCUAGUCCUGCGAUCCCAGUCAUGCUUCAGUGACUCUACUGAGGGUCUAGCUUCCCUGAAACUUCUCAGAGAUGGAGCCAACACCUACCAGCUGCUCAUCUUCCCCUCGUGUCAUAGGUCCAGGCAAGGAUACAGCCUUGUCCCUGUGGAGUGCACAUCCCAGGAGACUCAUAGUGCAUAGGCACCAAACCAGCAGAUUGUGGUCGGGGUAAAGUGGCAGGAAAAGGAGCGAAUGGCCCCUGUGGCAGGCUGGGAGAGGAAUGGAGGAAUGAGCAGGGGGUGGGUGCAUGCAGAAGGGGGGCAGGACUGGGCUGGGACACUGCACCCUGAUCAGUCAUCCUCCAGCCCUAGCUGGCCAGUCAGAGCUUGGGAGACAAAUACCCCCAGAACUGCCCCUGUGAGGGAGGGGCAUACCUCAUUCCAGGCAGUUGUCUGCAGCUGAUCCUGCGAUUUGAGCACCUCCCACAGGUGCUUUGUAAUUAAGACUUCCUGGUAGUUAACUCUGGGUCGAGUUAGCCGGGUUAAACCAAUACUUAAGCUGAGGUCAGUCUAGAUGCUACUGUAAAGGUGUGUUUUAGACAACCUUCACAUUUAAAUCAAUGGACUUGGAGGAACUCCGAUCACUGACUACAGCACAGUGGGUCUCCCUUGACCAUCAAGGCCAGAAGAGAGCAGAGGCUAAUCGCCCCUGAAGGAAGGAAGACUUCAGAUGCUCUCACACUGGAACACUUCCCUCCGGCACCUGGAGCAGAGUGCUGCAUACAGAAAGAGAGUCUCUGCACGCAGAGGUGGCUUCUCGCUUGGUGUCAGAGCUGGAGAGUGGCCAUGGUAAAGCUGGGCUUGGGGAAGGACAGCCCAGGAACUGACUUCAAAUUUAAAACACACUUAUAAAGCAAAGGAGGAAAUAAGUCACUCCGCAGAUGGGAAACUGCAGUCCUUCCCAAGCCUAAUGCGAGGUCAGCACAGAAAACAGCCCCACAGAGAAAAAACAAAAGCCAAGAACCAGCAGAGACCGGUAGCAGAAGGACUGCAGCCUCCAACAAAUGGCCCUGAGUUGGACAAUCCCUGUCUCUGCAAAUGAUGAGUGAACCAAGGGAUAUGCAGGCACCAUUAGUCACCAUCAGAACUGCAGAGUGACCUCAGGUGUGCCUAAAACACCAUGGAAACAGAGCCCUGCUAGGCUGCCAGGAACCACCAAGGACGGACCCAGCAGAAGCUGACCGCUCCUGCAGACUCCGGCCGCCUCCACACCUGCAUCGCAGAAGCUAGGGCAUUGUCACCUUGGAAAUGCUGACAGCACCCUGCCCGGGAGCUGGUGUUACGUAAGUUCUGCGAGGUCACAGGAGGAGGGCCUCUGGCUGUUGAGGGCCACAAGCACCAAGUACAGCAGAGAACUCCAGGCUCUAUGCUCAGAAACCUCUCAGCUGGCUAGAAAACCUCCAGAAAUGAGGCCCAUCCCUCACAGGGUGGCUAGACUCAAAGCCCUCCUCACACUCAGGGAGGACCCACCUCCCCGCCCCAUACCAUCCUCAGAGUCCAGUUGCUCUAUGCUCCAGCAAAAACCACCAAGACCCCAUGGUCUUAGGCUAUUCGUUGAUGUGGUGGCUCCUACUGAGUGAGUGACACAGCCAGUCCCCUUUCCUCUCUAAAUCAACAUAAGUAACCUGUCCUCUUUCACACAGAGACGAGGCCAGGAUCCCCUAACUCUUCCCUGACUCCAUGGUUUAGUCACAGCAUUUGGUUUUGCCUAAAUUGGGCAUUCUGGGCAGACCCUAGGCCUUUACAUAUUAUUCCUUCUGCCUGAGAAGCGCCUAUGCCUGCAUUUUCUCUCCUCUAUCACUUUGGAGAGGCUCGCUGCCUACUCCAGCUAACAGUAUCCUCUUUCCACCCCCCACCUUCUCAUCCAGUCUAUUAUUUGCCUAUUAUCUGUGAUCUCUAAUAGAACACAAACCCAGAGGACAGGGGCCCUGUCUGUCCCAUAUACCACCAGAGCCUAGUGUCUAGAACUGUGUCUGGCACAUAGUAGUUAUUCAGUAAACAUAUGCAAGGGGGCAGGUCUGACGGGGGCUGCAUACAGGACCACAGUGGGGGUCCAGCUGUAAGCUCUGCAAUCCCCAGCAUCCUUUUAGGCCCCAUGCAUUGACAGCCCCUGCUUUUGUGUCCCUUCCCCUCCCACCAGCCUCCACGGGCAGAGACGAGACCAAGAGGUCAUGUGUCUCCUAGAGACACACUGGGGUGGGGGUGGGGCUCAGUUCAAUAGUAAGCAGUGUGAUACCUAAUCACUCUGAUCCUGGUGCAGGACAGUCUCGGGGAGGAUCCCCAGUAGUCCAGCUAGCCCCACAGACAACUAGCAUUGCAGCCAGACAGAACAAAGAGGCAGAGCCCAGAGGGGGCCACUCACAACCACGGACUCCCGACUCCCUCACACUGUCUCAGCCCUUCUGAAGGCCUGGCUACCCACAGGACUUGGACAGAAGGGGCCUUGAGAACAGAAGCACAGAUGCAGGUGCUGUGAGGUAUUGGUGAGUGGAGGAGGGGGACGGACGAGCAGGUGCUCGGCUGCUCCUGUGGAUGCCUCUGACUGGUGCUCUCCUGAGCAUGCCUGUGCUGUCUUGUCUUUUGCUUUUAAUGUAGACUCUGCAACAGAGGACACACACCAAGCAAAACAGGUGAGCAGUGGAAAGGACCCCCCCCAGCCUGGAUCCCACACUUGGCUCCCAUUCCCAAGGAUAAGCACACCCACCGGAUCCUUGCAAGACGUAUUUCUGCAUACAGAAAGGCAGGGCCACGCACGGACACAUGUGGCUGUGCUCUCCAAGCUCGGUUCUGCUUGUUAUAUUGCUGCACUUGGUGCAUCCGGACACUCUUCGUCAUCGGAGUUUAUCGUGAACCCCUGUGGUGAUUCUCCUGAAAGCCCCUGUUCCACAGCGAAUCCCCUCUUGUUGGACAUUAAGGAUACUUCCAGCUCUAAGCUUUUACAGAUCAUAUCUUGAUAUGCCAAUCUUUACACAUGCCUCAUUUUGCAAGCUGCUUUUCUUUUUUGCUCAAUAAUAAACGAUGCUUAUCUUCCCGGGUAAA